rnacentral:rRNA from 1 species
GACGAACGCUGGCGGCGUGCUUAACACAUGCAAGUCGAGCGGUAAGGCCCUUUCGGGGGUACACGAGCGGCGAACGGGUGAGUAACACGUGAGCAACCUGCCCUUCACUUCGGGAUAAGCCUCGGAAACGGGGUCUAAUACCGGAUAUCACUCCUUACUUCAUGGUUUGGGGUUGAAAGUUUUGGCGGUGGGGGAUGGGCUCGCGGCCUAUCAGCUUGUUGGUGGGGUAAUGGCCUACCAAGGCGUCGACGGGUAGCCGGCCUGAGAGGGCGACCGGCCACACUGGGACUGAGACACGGCCCAGACUCCUACGGGAGGCAGCAGUGGGGAAUAUUGCGCAAUGGACGGAAGUCUGACGCAGCAACGCCGCGUGAGGGAUGACGGCCU